rnacentral:rRNA from 1 species
UACGUAGGGGGCUAGCGUUGUCCGGAAUCAUUGGGCGUAAAGCGCGCGUAGGCGGUCCUGUAAGUCCGCUGUGAAAGUCGGGGGCUCAACCCUCGAAUGCCGGUGGAUACUGUCGGGCUAGAGUGCGGAAGAGGCGAGUGGAAUUCCUGGUGUAGCGGUGAAAUGCGCAGAUAUCAGGAGGAACACCAAUUGCGAAGGCAGCUCGCUGGGACGUUACUGACGCUGAGGAGCGAAAGCGUGGGGAGCGAACAGG